GUGUGUGUGUGUGUGUGUGUGUGUGUGAUUUAUUUUUUUUUAACCCUUAAGAACACUAAAUGGUCAUUGAUGGUGCUUUGAUGAACAUGUUUUGGUAAGACAGAAUCUUUCUAGUCAUCCAAAUAUAGUCCAAACGACACUGACACGACAAGAGAGCUGGAGGUCGGGUGGACUAGAGUUGACUGAUCGAUGUGGUUGGUGGUGGGAGUUCACAACGUUCCCGUCUUGGAAUGCCACACAGUACUAAGGAGAUUAUGGGGAGACACAAAUCUAUGAUCUUAAUUUGGAAUUACAUUUCCCAAUAAGCCUGAUUCAGGCCACCCAAGGAAGUGAUCCAAGAAACAAGGUACUGAAAAUUGCUUUUAAAACACUGGGUUUAAUAUUUUUUGUUUUAAUUACAUUUUUGUGUGUUCGGAUUGCCGUCCCAAUUAGCAGCUGAGUGUGAAGCAGAUACUUCAAGGCGAAUUAGGACCAGAUUCAUCUCCUCUCAUCAGCUGCUGGCCCAGACUCACCUUUGGCCUGGACUACUGACUGAAUGAAUGAAUGAGUGAGUGUGUGUGUGUGUGUGUGUGUGUGUGUGUGUGUGUGUGUGUGUGUGUGUGUGUGAGUGUGUAAGAGUAAGCGAGUGAGUGUUUAUGAGUGAGUGAGUGAAUGAAUGAAUGAGUGAAUGUGUAUGAGUGAGUGUGUAUAAAUUAAUGAAUGAGUGAAUGUGUAUGAGUGAGUGAGUGAGUGAGUGAGUGAGUGAGUGAGUGUGUGUGUGUGUGUGUGUGUGUGUGUGUGUGUGUGUGAGUGAGUGAGUGUGUAUCAGUGAGUGUGUAUCAGUGAGUAUGGAGUGAAUGAGUGAGUGUGUGAGUGAGUGAGUGUGGACUGAGUGUUGCACAGAUUCACUUUUAUUAACAAAUUUCACGGAAGUUUGCACUGAUUGACCGUGUCCUUAUGAUAUUGUUUUGUUUAUUUGUUGCUUUUAUUGUUGUCUCAAAACGGUCAGUGCCCGUGUACAUGAUCCCCCGCAUCUCACUGUGCUGUUCUCUCCCCCUGAGUCCCAGACUGGAUGGACUUCUGUAAAACAAUGAAGGCAAAGCACUCCAGCAGGUGUGACGGGACAGGUGCACUCUAGCAGGUGUGACGUGACAGGUGCACUCUAGAAGGUGUGACGUGACAGGUGCACUCUAGCAGGUGUGACGGGACAGGUGCACUCUAGCAGGUGUGACGUGACAGGUGCCGCAGCUCUGAACAAAGUCUACCUUCAACACAUUUCAACACAAUACACAACACUAUCUUGCAGACCCACAUACACACAGAUAAAUGUGCAUUUCUGUGGGAACUUGUCCCAGUACGACAUCGAGCCAUGUUAAGAUUCAGCACCCAGCAAAGGGAGUGGUGUUCUGAGAAGCAUUUGUGGCGUAUGAUAUGAGAGAACUGCCGCAUCUGUUACAUAGUGUAUUCACCUGCUCACACACACACACGCACACUCACUCACAAUCGACACGCACACUCACUCACAUACGCACACACACUCCACCCUUUACAGGACUGACUCUGCCUUUACCCCCAAAAAUAAAAUAAAAUUCUCUUAUGAAUCUAUGCUACUGUGAAAUGAUGGUUUUCUGUUUUUUUGUCAUCAAAGAUAUAAGCAAGAGCCAAAACAGAUAUGUGUAUGUGUACACAGGCAUUUGUAUAGGCAGUAUGCUAUCAAAUGUUAAGGAGUAAGUAUUCAUAGACUGUAAAAUCCCAAUAGGUAUGAGUUGACCGCAACUGCAAUGUUUCACCACUAGGGGGAGAAGUUGUCAAGCAGAUUGUUUGUACAGCGUCAAAGUGAAGGCUUCCAAAAAACCUCUUCCCUCAGGCUUUGGGUUGCCUUCUGUCCAAAUGCUUCCAACUAGCCAUUAAAUUCCCCCCCAAGCUUAUUAUGUAAUUAUGUGAAUAAUUUAGGAUUUGGAAUCAAAUCUAGGCCACAUGCUCUGGUAAAUGUGGUUAAUAUAAUUAGAUUUUGCUUUGCAUGCAUUGUCACUAUCCUUGGAGUAACUCUAACUGACAUGCAGGCCAGGUUCAGGCCAGUUCACUGCCUUCUCAGUAGAAAUCCAACUGAAAACUGAGCUGAGAAAGCCAGCACUAGACUAUAUAAUGAGUCCGUUCGAAACAGAAGUUUGCUGCCUUGUUGCUGUAAUAGACAGGUGUAUCAUAAGGCUUAAUACGGCAGACCCAGUGGGUCCGAUCGAACCAGAAGGUUGCUGCCUUGAUGCCUCACUGUCGUGUUAGACACCCCACUGAGACAGCAUGUUACCGUUUGGAAGGGACCCAGUGACCACAGGAGAGUUGAAGGGGCCCAGUGACCACAGGAGAGAUGAAGGGGCCCAGUGACCACAGGAGAGAUGAAGGGACUACAGGAGAGAUGAAGGGACCCAGUGACUAAGGGGCCCAGUGACCACAGGAGAGUUGAAGGGACCCAGUGACCACAGGAGAGUUGAAGGGACCACAGGAGAGAUGAAGGGACUACAGGAGAGAUGAAGGGACUACAGGAGAGUUGAAAGGGUCCAGUGACCACAGGAGAGAUGAAGGGACCACAGGAGAGUUGAAGGGACCCAGUGACCACAGGAGAGAUGAAGGGACUACAGGAGAGUUGAAGGGGCCCAGUGACCACAGGAGAGAUGAAGGGACCACAGGAGAGAUGAAGGGACUACAGGAGAGUUGAAGGGACCACAGGAGAGUUGAAGGGGCCCAGUGACCACAGGAGAGUUGAAGGGACCCAGUGACCACAGGAGAGUUGAAGGGGCCCAGUGACCACAGGAGAGUUGAAGGGGCCCAGUGACCACAGGAGAGUUGAAGGGGCCCAGUGACCACAGGAGAGUUGAAGGGACCACAGGAGAGUUGAAGGGACCCAGUGACUAAGGGGCCCAGUGACCACAGGAGAGUUGAAGGGACCACAGGAGAGAUGAAGGGGCCCAGUGACCACAGGAGAGAUGAAGGGACCACAGGAGAGAUGAAGGUUGAAGGGGCCCAGUGACCACAGGAGAGAUGAAGGGGCCCAGUGACCACAGGAGAGUUGAAGGGGCCCAGUGACUACAGGAGAGAUGAAGGGGCCCAGUGACUACAGGAGAGUUGAAGGGACCACAGGAGAGAUGAAGGGGCCACAGGAGAGUUGAAGGGACCACAGGAGAGUUGAAGGUUGAAGGGGCCCAGUGACUACAGGAGAGAUGCAGUUAGGACAUGCUGAAGAGGAAGUCCACGCGUAAAUAUCACAUGGGUAGAAGCCGUGGAUAGGUGAUCGGUUUGGCUUUACACUGCCUAUAAACACUGCAGGAGCAGGAUCCCAUUGAUUGAUUGAUUGAUUGAUUCGUGGGUCUGCGGAUCACUUUUUAUUAUUAAUAAUCAAACAAUAAUAAUUUAUUUAAAUGUAUUAUUAUUCAGCACUUAGUACAAUAGCCUUGUAACAAAGGGCUUUUAUUUUUACGCAAAUUAAAAUGAACUAUUCUGCAUUUCAAGAGCUGAUCUGCAUUGGUGUGUAUGUAGUUCAUAAACAAGCUAGAUACUGGUUAGUCAGCUGAAUAAUGAAGAAAGAAUGAAAACAAGAGGAGGAAGUUCUUCAAAAAAAGGGUUCUUUAUUACUCCACAGCCCACGAGGAAGAGUAAUACAUUCAGAGAGUUCUAAAGCGCCAACAGACUUCUUUGGCUCCGGCAAUGAUUGACAUAUCAUGACACGACAGGAAUCACCACACACACA
ensembl:lncRNA